rnacentral:rRNA from 1 species
UAGCUGCGAUACUUAGUGUGAAUUGCAGGACACACUGAGCUCUUACUCUUUGAAUGCACAUUGCGGCCUCGGGUUCGCCCGUUGGCUUCGUCUGUCUGAGGGUCGGAUCAAAUAUCAAGCGUUGCUGUAUGUGGUGGCUUCUAUUGAACGUUGCAUCUCACGUAUAGUAUUCGUAUUGACUAUUUUACGUUUCACAACGUAAUUAGUUUAAGAAUUUUCGUUAGGACAUUGAUAAUGUCCUAUUCGAUGCAGCAAAUAUGAAAUAUUUGUUUGAAAACACUUUAUGUGUCGACCUCAGAUCAGGCGAGACUA